UGUAAACAUCCUUGACUGGAAGCUGGGGUUUGGACAGCAAGGGCUUUCAGUCGGAUGUUUGCAGC
ensembl:miRNA microRNA 30e